UGAUCCGGGUUGCGGACAGUGUCUGGUGGGUAGUUUGACUGGGGCGGUCUCCUCCUAAAGAGUAACGGAGGAGCACGAAGGUUGGCUAAUCCUGGUCGGACAUCAGGAGGUUAGUGCAAUGGCAUAAGCCAGCUUGACUGCGAGCGUGACGGCGCGAGCAGGUGCGAAAGCAGGUCAUAGUGAUCCGGUGGUUCUGAAUGGAAGGGCCAUCGCUCAACGGAUAAAAGGUACUCCGGGGAUAACAGGCUGAUACCGCCCAAGAGUUCAUAUCGACGGCGGUGUUUGGCACCUCGAUGUCGGCUCAUCACAUCCUGGGGCUGAAGUAGGUCCCAAGGGUAUGGCUGUUCGCCAUUUAAAGUGGUACGCGAGCUGGGUUUAGAACGUCGUGAGACAGUUCGGUCCCUAUCUGCCGUGGGCGCUGGAGAACUGAGGGGGGCUGCUCCUAGUACGAGAGGACCGGAGUGGACGCAUCACUGGUGUUCGGGUUGUCAUGCCAAUGGCACUGCCCGGUAGCUAAAUGCGGAAGAGAUAAGUGCUGAAAGCAUCUAAGCACGAAACUUGCCCCGAGAUGAGUUCUCCCUGACUCCUUGAGAGUCCUGAAGGAACGUUGAAGACGACGACGUUGAUAGGCCGGGUGUGUAAGCGCAGCGAUGCGUUGAGCUAACCGGUACUAAUGAACCGUGAGGCUUAACCUUACAACGCCGAAG
rnacentral:rRNA from 1 species